ensembl:lncRNA
AUGCGGGUGCCUGCCGUGCCUGCUCGCCCGUGGGGUGGUGACAGGAUUAAUCUUUGCUCUGGGCACAGCUCAGCCGAUUCCUUUGGAAUCUCUCGAUGGGAAGAUAAGCCGGGAGCAGCCCUGUGUUCCCGGGGUCUGUGUCACACCAGGCAGGUGCACCUGGCUCUUCAGGGGCUUUUCCCUUCUUCCCUUCCUCCCUCCCGUCCUUCCUGCUGCUUUUCUCUGCGCCCAGAGCAAACAGGCCGGUCCCUGCCCAAUUUGGUUAAUGAGCUGGCAGAUAAGCCCUGCUCGGUGAUAACGAGGGACCGAUGGCCAGGUGAGAUACCCGGGGGGUGUUCACCUGCCAGGGGAUCCCACAGGGAGCUGCAGCUCCCGGACUUUGCUCCAGGACACCCCGGGGGCUGGCAGCAGCUCUGCCCAGCCUCGGGCAGUGGGAUGUGGCUGGAUCCACGGUGGGAUCGCUCCCUGCAGCCCGGUGGUCUCCACGUGCUGGCUUUGAGCUUUGUUCCCAAUGUGGGGACACGCAGCAUCUCCCAGCUCUCCCCAUCGUUUUCCCUGUUCCCACUCAGCAGUGCUGCGUCUUUAGCUGGGAAAAAAUCAUCUUUUCCCUCCUUUCUUCCCUCGCUGUGUGGAGGUGGGUGCGGCGCAGGGGCUCCGCCAGCAUCCCCGGCUGGCACAGGGAUGCUCAUCCCGCUGGAGGAGCUCUCAGCACCACCGAGCAGGGGUUCAGCACCGUCGGUGGGGUUGCAGCACCCCAUUUUCGGGUGGGUGGAGGCCGCGGGGCGCUGGCGGGAGCGGGGCCGGCUCCAGCAGCACUAUUUUUGUCCCCCUGUCUGGAACGGUUUUCUCUUUAUCAGCGCCUGCGUGUUUUCUCUGCUGGGGAUUGAUACACACAAGAUGAAGUGCUCUGACAUGGGAAGUGUCAGGCGAAUGCUCUUAUCUCGGAGACAUGGUCUCCUGACCCAAACGCCGCUGAUUACCAAUGAGCUGGAGCUGGAGGUGCGGGACGGGCAGAGACGGGUGCGGACCCGCAGGAGCCCGCAGGAGCCUCCCCGAGGGCUUCUCCUGGGGCCCCUUCCAGGGCAGCAUCCACAGCGAGCCGGCAUCGCCGGGGCACGGCGACACGGUAAGGAGCACCCCGAGGGGAUGGUGGCGGGGCAAGUCCUGAGGAAACAAAUUCUUUUAAGUCCCUGCUUGAUCUCCUCAGCCCCGGGAAUGUCCCGGUUUGAGCGGGCCGGAGGUUUCCCUGCCAGCCCAGGGCAUUCCCACGGGCCGGGGACGGGAUGUUGCCAUCCCUGUGCACGGGCAGAGGUGGCACCUGUGUCCUCACACGGGAGAUGGGCUCUGGCUUCCCCAGCCCGGGGCUGCUCCCUGGGGACUCUGGAUGUGCCUGGAAAGCACCAGCAGCGUGGCAAGGGGCAGGAGGGGAGCGCCGAGGGGACACCGGGGGGCUGCUGGUGGCCGUGGGUGCCAUCACCAGGGGGAGCAGCAGAGGAGGGAGGUGUCCACGAGUGUCCCUGAGUGUCACUCUGGGUGCUUUUAGGCUCUGCAUCCUUCAUUCCAGCCACAUCCUUCCCCCCACAUCCCCCCCCAGGCGCACACAGACAGCUCCAGCCCAGGAUCCUCAAGCCCUGGCUCCAUCCCCACCUCUUCCUCCUCCUCUCUCCUUUGCUCUCUUUUUUUUCUUUCUUUCUUUUUUUUUUUUAAGCUCAGGCCCGUUUAUCUUUGCUGAAUUAAAUCCUUGAUUAACCCUUAUCUGCCCAGUUUGGCUCCCUAUCUCCCGGUUGGCGCCGUGUGUCCAGACACCCGGUACAGGAUGAUUGAUUUCCCCAAGAUAUGCGCAGCUUUUUUCUGAUACUUCAUUUAUUGUCUAAAUAUUUUUGCUCCCAUUUCAGCAGCUCCCUUAUCGAGCCCGGCUGAUGAUUCCCAGCCCUGCUCUCCUCUGCCACUCUCCUCCUUCCCUAUCUCUGCUCAGGGAAGGGAGGAAGGAAUUGCAGCCCCAUCCCUGAUAGGGGCUGUCACCCUCAGGUCCCUUCCUCUUUGUUGCUGGCGGCGUUGGGGGGGUGUGCAGGGGGUCUCCCCCAAAUCCUGCCCGGCUCUGCUCUUCAUCUCCACGUGGGAGAUGAUCCCAGCCUGGCCUUUUUCAGUGGGAGCUGGGAGCACUGGGUGGCUUUAAUAUUCCGUGGCGUGGAGCACCGUGUGUCCCCAUCGCCUGCUGGUGGAGAAGGAGAAAGGAGGGAAACGAGGAGGAGGAGAAAAGGGAGGAGGAAGAUUCCUACCCGCCCCUACCUGAUCCUACAGGGUUCUCCCCAAAAGAUCCUCGCUCGGAAAGGUGUGGAAACCCUCUGGCAGACAGCCCAGGGGUGCUGAGGGAUGG